rnacentral:rRNA from 1 species
AGAAUCAACGCUGGCGGCGUGCCUAACACAUGCAAGUCGCACGAGAAAGGGACUUCGGUCCUGAGUACAGUGGCGCACGGGUGAGUAACACGUGAAUUAUCUACCUCCGAGUGGGGAAUAACUGAGAGAAAUCUUAGCUAAUACCGCAUAACACUUACGAGUCAAAGCAGCAAUGCGCUUGGAGAGGAGUUCGCGGCCGAUUAGUUAGUUGGCGGGGUAAUGGCCCACCAAGACGAUGAUCGGUA